rnacentral:rRNA from 1 species
UGAGGAAUAUUGGUCAAUGGGCGCAAGCCUGAACCAGCCAUCCCGCGUGCAGGAAGACGGCGCUCUGCGUUGUAAACUGCUUUUGCAGGGGGAGAAACUUGCGCAUGUGUAGCGCAAUUGACGGUACUUUGGGACUAAGCAUCGGCUAACUCAGUGCCAGCCGCCGCGGUCAUUAGGAGGAUGCGAGCGUUCUCUGGUUUCAUUGGGUUUAAAGGGUGCGUAGGCGGACUAUUAAGUCAGUGGUGAAAUCCUGCAGCUUAACCGCAGAACUGCCAUUGAUACUGGUAGCCUAGAGUUUGGUAGAGGUAGGCAGAAUGUGUAGUGUAGCGGUGAAAUGCGUAGAUAUUACACAGAACACCAAUGGCGUAGGCGGCUUACUGGGCCGACACUGACGCUGAGGCACGAAAGCGUGGGGAGC